UUAUAACCACAGCUUCUCAUCAUCUCAGAGCCCCGCCCUCUAUCUCACUGUCGGAGACUUGGUGACAAAUCUGAUCAUCAGGGUGGUGCUGGUCCACUUCCUCCUGAUCAUGGGGACCAUCUCCCUCUACUUCUACUGUCGGGCCAGUAGGGGGCGCUGCAGACUGAAGGCAUGCAACACAGGAUGAGAUGCACCACCACAGCAACCACCACGACCACAGCAACGUCAACGUCUACAUCCACGUCCAUCCUGCAGAAUAGUUGUGUGUGUUGUUUGUGUCCCAGUCCCAGUUCUUUUCCUGGAGUCCUGGUCCGGUCUGAAUGUUCAGUGUGUUUGUGUUUCAGUGGUUCUGGUUCUUCUUGGACUUGGACUCAGACCUGUUCAGUCCUGACUCAAAGGACAGCAGAGGACCUGUUCAGCACUUUGAUUCACGCUCACACAUGAACUCUGCUCUGACAGCAGCUGCAAACACUUGGAAAUCCUUCAUAUGGAUGAAUUCACCACUUUUCCUGGGCUGUUCCUGUAGUUUGAAACCAGAGUUCUACUAGAGUUUGGAGUUUUUAUUCAGUCUGUCACUGUGCUUUUAUGUCUUUAUGUCAUUCUACGUGUUUGUGAGUUUGUCGUGUUUUUCUGUGUCAGUAUCAUCAGGGCCAGUUCUAACAAUUUUGGCGCCCUAGACAAGACAU